rnacentral:tRNA from 1 species
GGAGAUGUAGCUCAGUUGGUAGAGUGCUUGCCUCACAUGUACAAGGCCCUGGGUUCAAUCCUCAGCACCA